CGAAUCUGCUUGCCUUGAGAAGGUACUCAGUUACCGAAAGCUCAGCAAUCACAUAUUCCAGAGCACUGAUUUUAUAUUAUUCUUGUCAAUAUGUAGUUUUGAUGUGCGUGUACGCAGCUCGGAAUCUCGUACGCUGAAUUGUUGCACGCGCACACUGUACGAAUUGCAUUGGAGAACGGCUGAAAACAGUCCAGAACAAUGGCAAGAAUUAAAGUUACCUCCGACUUUAUUUUCCCGUUUUUGUCUUUGGUGGUGAUAUGUCGAUUUUUUUCCCACCAGCUAAGGAGAUAAGGACGCAUAGGAGUUUACGGACUUGAAAUUGGCUCCUUGGAAAAGGGCCACCGUACUUUUCCCACUUGUCAGACGUCCAGGACACGGAGAAGAAUUCGUACCUGAGCGGAAGAAAGCCCGUACUCUUUGUUACUGGUGUUCUUAUUUAUCAUGGGCAAGUGCAGUUUGUGAGGAUGCCGCUCUCUUUCCUUCACUUCAGUUUAGUUAAUUUUUGUGUGUGUUGGAUUAAUUUGCGCAGCAUUCUAUGUUUCUCCACAAGUUUGAGUGAUUUGCGCACCUUGUGGACAAAAAGUAGUCGCUCUCAAUCAUAUAUUCUCUUGCUGUUAAUUAAUUCUUUCCAGAGAUAGUUAGUUGUAGUUUUCUGUGGUUUUUAUGCUUGUAUAAGUAGAGGUUUGUUGUGAGUGUAAUUAUUUUUGUUGCAAUGUAAUUUGUUUACUCUUUUUAUUUUUUCAGAAACAGUGUUGUAUUUGACUUUCGUCUUUGUUUUUAGCAUUCUAUAUAAAUAAAACAUUAACAAACUUGUUCACGGUUUUCCUCGUUAAUUGUAAGAUCAGUAUUUUUGUUUUCGUGAUACAUUUAAUUUUACAAUGACGUUACUAGAAACAUCAGGUGUCGCACGAAAUAGAAACCUGGCCACUGCCCACAGUAUCCACUCGACUACAAAGGGAAUACGUGUUCUCGCUGAAAAAUUCAUAACUGGAGUACUCGCUGCUGCAUUACGA